UCCGAAACUCUCUUAACUAAUAUUCAAGAGAAAAGGAUUCUAGAAAGAUUCAUAGAAUUAGAAGAACUUUCGCUAUUGGAUGAGAUGAUAAAAGGGAAACUAAAGACACAUGUACAAAAACCUCCUACAGGAAUACACAAGGAAAUAAUACAAUGGGCUGAGAUUGACAACUCUAGUAACAGAGAAUGA
rnacentral:rRNA from 1 species